CUCAGCUAGAUGGAUAGAGCCUGCACCCAUGCAGCUUCCCCAUCAGAGGAGGAGUUACAGGAAGCUCUGUCCCAGUAUGAGUACACAGUCCCUUGAUUUUAGGGACCAGAUCCAAAAGGAACACUGGAACGAGGUACUCAAGGAAGUUCAGGUUCUCCAGAGAGAGUCCCUCCCAACCCCAGAACAGCGGCUACAGGAUCAACGGAUAUAAACUGAACAAAAUUAUAAAUGCAACACUUUUGUUUUUGCCCUCAUUUUUCAUGAGCUGAACUAAAAGAUCUUAGACUUUUUCAAUGUAAACAAAAGGCCUAUUUCUAUCAAAUAUUGUUCACAAAUCUGUCUAAACCUGUGUUAGUGAGCACUUCUUCUUUG